AGUGAACGCUGGCGGUAGGCCUAACACAUGCAAGUCGAACGGCAGCACAGUAAGAGCUUGCUCUUACGGGUGGCGAGUGGCGGACGGGUGAGGAAUACAUCGGAAUCUACUUUUUCGUGGGGGAUAACGUAGGGAAACUUACGCUAAUACCGCAUACGACCUACGGGUGAAAGCAGGGGAUCUUCGGACCUUGCGCUAUUGAAUGAGCCGAUGUCGGAUUAGCUAGUUGGCGGGGUAAAGGCCCACCAAGGCGACGAUCCGUAGCUGGUCUGAGAGGAAGGAUAGCUAGCUGGUAAGAGAGAAAGGGCAGCGACACUGACAGUAGGACGCGGUGGGGAAUCUUGCAGGAAGGGGGAGUGGGUAAUACUGGACAAUGGGGUAGGGGAUGAAGCACCUAUGGUGGGUAAGUCAUGAUGUCGUGAAAGAAAUGCAGCAGGUUAAUACCCCGUUGUACUGACGGUACCCAAAGAAUAAGCUCCGGCUAACUUCGUG
rnacentral:rRNA from 1 species